UUUGGGAAAGGACUGUAGCUCAGAGAUAGAGCAUCUGCUUUUCAUGCAGCAGUCCCUGGUUCAAUCCCCAGUGUCUCUAGAA